UCUCUCUCUCUUUCCUUUUUCAUGAAAAACCCUAGUAGCCGUCUUUGAUUCCCUCGUCUCUCUCAUGCCAAAAAUGGCGUAUUCACAGAGAUAUGAUCACAUGCACAGCAUCUGCAUGAUCGUUGUGGUGAAAAUAUCAAAAGUUCACUCGACUACAUGACUUCUUUUACCCGAAUAUGUUUGUUGAGGUUUGGAAGCACAAAGGCUCACAAAUCCAUUCUUUUCCUGGCUGCACAUAUAAAAGGCUUUUCUUUUACAGGACAGUAGAUACACCACCAACUAGCUUACUCACAACAAAGGCGAAUGGCAAAGCCCAAACGGUGGAGAAAGACCCAAAAGGGUCAUAGCAGAGAAUGGGUAUUAAAGAGACAUCUGACCGCGAGAGUGACGGAUCAAAUGAGCGUAAAGAUAGAUCCGACGAAGAGGGUCACACAAGGAAUGAAUGACAAAGAUGUAUCAGACCAAGAGGGUCACAAUGGAUGGGCAUACAGAUACAUGCGACCAAAAGGGUCAUGACAAGCACAAAGGGCAUAUCUGGCCACAAGGGUCAACAUCCAAUACAAUGAAGGAAAGAAAAAUUAUCCAGCCACAAGGGCCAUAAUUGUCAUCUGCCUGCCGAGAGGGCUAUUCAUUUAUUUUGCCAAGAGGGCCAUCUAUUUAUUUCGCCAAGAGGGUCAUUCAUACAAGCAAGCCAAGAGGGUCAUUCAUACAAACAAGCCAAGAGGCCAUGCAUAAAAAUAGCCAAGAGGGUCAUUUAUACAAACAGCGGAGAGGGCCAUUCAUUUAAAAAACCCAAGAGGGUCAUUCAUACAAACAGCCAAGAGAGCCAUUCAUACAAACAGCCUAGAGGUCAUUCAUUCAAACAAGCAAAGAGGGCCAUUCAUACAAACAGCCAAGAGGGUCAUUCAUUCAAACAAGCCGAGAGGGCCAUUUAUCUAAAUUUCCACAAGAAUAUCUGCAUAUUUUCAAAUUCAGGAGAGAAGCACACAACCGCCCAAAAAGAAACCGGUUGCUGAACCAGAUCUAGACAAAUUGAGGAGCAAACGUGUAACUUUUUCUUACGCAGCCGGUCAAGAUAUGGUGCCCAUGAGAGUCAAGCUUUCCGGCCAGGAUUUGGAAGGACAUGGAAUACACAUAUGCCCAUCACAUAAGCGUACGAAUAAAUAUGAGAUGUUGCUUGUACAUGUGUAUAUUUAUGUAUAGAAUAGGACUUGUGAACAGUAGUGCAUUGUGUAUAUUGUGUGUGUAUAUCAUGUGUAUGAUAGGAACAAUAAAAUAUAAACUAACUGGGGUGUUAUGUUUUAUUUUUCCUCUCCACUGCAUGGCCACUUGGGCCGAGGUCCAGCCACCCUAUUGGGUUAAAGGCCCAAUAGGGAAAAUUCUAUCAAGUGUCGUUGAGUCCAAAAAAAAAAAAGGGAAGCUAAUAUAUUGAAGGCCCAGUCAUGGGUAAAAAUGACAUGAAGGCCCAACCAUGGGUGAGAAUGGUUGGGGCUUGGUACACCCCAAUUUACUUUCUUCAUUAUAUUUUUCUCUACUUAUUUAAAAUCAUUUCCUUGUAUUGUAUUCAUUAUUUGUAAAACCCACAAACAUUAUU